CUCGCCGCCAGGCCAGGGAAGCAGGGGCCCUUCGGUGCAAACAGCGGGGAGAGGCUGCUCUUGCCUCUCUCUGACCUUCUUCAGCACAGCUACCAGCCCCAGCCCACCAGCUGUGCCCCGAGUACUGCAACCUAAUGCCAAGGAUUGGCAAGAAGACCUGCCCGACUUGCCCUCUGCUCAGACCCCAGAAUCACUUUCCGAAGGGAGAGAGGCCUGCUGACUGAGAGGUGCUGAGAUGCUGGGGAACAGAUGACAGACUCGCAGCCAGCACCCACUGGGCCCAGGGUUUGGAAUAUAAGAAGAAACAGCAAAAGGAGAACCUUGCAAGGAGAGUCUGAAUUUAGCACCCCAUCUUCCAGAAAAGAACAGACAUUGUUCAGGAGCAACUAACAUCUAUCAGAUGUCGGCUGAGUGCGAGAGCCUGUGCUAAGUGUUUUACAUUAGUUUGGUAAUCCUCACUGUGACCCUUGCAGGUGUUGCUUGCCCAAGGCCGUGUAGCCAGUGGGUGGAUAUUCUAACCCAGGUACUCCAAAGUCAGAGCUUUGGAUGAGAAGCUCAAGAUGAGAAGCCAUAUUGAUCCCAAGGAGGGACAGUGCUAGGUGAGCUGUUAACAGUAAAGAGUCCCCCAGGGCUAGUGCUUUAACAACUUUUGGUAUUGAUUCCACUUCUAAAUUAAGUAUCAUAAUUGUUGUUAAUAAACAAUAAUAAAGCAGGUACUUAAGAAUC